CCGGGUUUCAGGUUUGGCUUUGAAGAGGAGCUGGCGCCAGUGGUUUAGUAUGCUGUGGAGCUGCUGCUGCUGCUGCAGGGAGAGGAUGAGCUAAGAGUUUUGGCGAGCUGGGGAACCACAACAUGGAAAAUACCAUACGUCUUCAAAAAUCCAGAGACUUGGUCAUCUAGAUGCUUAAAGAAGAAAAUAUAACUGUCUAGAAAGAUUCACCAAGCAAAGAGAAAUCUGACUUAUGAUAUCCAUAUUCUUUGCAAGGCCACAGCAGAUUCUGCUUUGGGAAUUGUCUACCAAAUGAGAAAAUUCAGUAAGAAAGAACAGCUGUAUUUAGAGCAGUGGGACCAGAACCUGUGAUGUGAGCAAGGUACAGCAGGCGGGACCAGGCAACUUAGAGCAUGAGCUCACGUGCACGUGCAGCUGUGACACUGUCUAGCACUGGGAACUAACUCAGGGGUAUACAGAGGCAACCUGGAAGAGGGAAUUUAAAACCUGGCAUUAAGCAUGCAGGCGGGAGAAUCUGACGUGCAUGGCCAGCGACUGCCAGGCUGUUGAAAAUGCCUUUGUGAGCAUUCUGUGGACCUGUGGCAGUCAUGGCCUUUCUCAGGCCAGAUCUAGUGGUUGUAGG